rnacentral:rRNA from 1 species
AGCCAUGCAUGUGUAAGCGAAGCUUUUAGUGGAGCUGCGGAAGGCUCAGUAACGGGCGUCUAAUUUGAUCUCUUAGAGCGGACAACCUCUGUAAACGGAGGACAAAACGCAUUAUGGGCAUGUCCGAAAGAUGCCUAGACAACCGAAAGGUGUGAGAGAAUAAGGGGCCAUCCCAUCAGUUAGUAAGUAAGGUAAAGGCCUACUUAGACGAAGACGGGUACGGGGAAUUAUUGUUCGAUUCCGGAGAGGGAGCCUGAGAGAUGGCUACCAGGUCCAAGGAUAGCAGCAGGCGCGAAAAUUACCGAAGCCUAAAGUAGGGCGGUAGUAAUGAAACGUGAAAACGAUGUACUGAUAAAAGAGGUAGUAGUGACUGGAGGUAAAGACUGGUGCCAGCAUCCGCGGUAAUACCAGCUCCAGGAGUGUCUAUGAUGAUUGUUGCAAUUAAAGAGUUCGUAGUCGAGUAGCAUGACAGGUCUUUAAAGUGGUGGAUCAAACGACGACCAGGAUCUGAAAAGCUAAGAAUGAGGAGCGAUCAGGGGCUAGUUUAUUAAGCGACGAAAGGUGAAAUUUGAUGACUCGCUUAGGAGAAACGGAGGCGAAGGCGCUAGCCAGGAGCGAAUCCGAUGAUAAAGGACGUAGGCUAGAGGAUCGAAGACGAUUAGAGACCGUUGUAGUUCUAGCAGUAAACGAUGCCGACGCUGUGCUAUGAACUGUAGUGCGGAAGAGAAAUCGAGUAGGGCCUUGGGGAGAGUACAUACGCAAGUAAGAAACUUAAACGAAAUUGACGGAAGAACACCACAAGGAGUGGAGUGUGCGGCUUAAUUUGACUCAACGCGGGACAGCUUACCAAGCCCGACGACUGGACGAGUGUAGUACACGAUAGGUCGGAGAGUGGUGCAUGGCCGUUAACGACAAGUGGGGUGACCUUAUGGUUAAGUCCGGGAAGUAGUGAGACCCCUGCUAGCGGAAGACGAGACGAGUUAGGACAGGUACGCAAAGUACAGGAAGGAAGGGUCAAGAACAGGUCAGUGAUGCCCUCAGAUGGCUUGGGCUGCACGCGCACUACAGUGGUCACACGAAUAAAGGAAAGUAACAGUAAAGGUGAUUGAGAGGGAAUGAGCUUUGUAAGAGGCUCAGGAACGAGGAAUUGCUAGUAAUCGCAGACUCAUUAAGAUGCGAUGAAUACGUCCCUGUUCUUUGUACACACCGCCCGUCGUUAUCGAAGAUGGAAUCAGGUGCGAACAAGUGAAAACGAGUGAGUACAGGGUUCUAGAUGUGAUACAAGUCGUAACAAGGUAGCUGUAGGAGAACCUGUAGCUGGAUCAGACUGAGAGAAACGAAGGAGUAAAGUUAGAAGAGUAAAGAAAACCCUGCGCAAGGGAUCUUUUGGUUCGGUGAGCGAGGAAGAGCGCAGCGGAGAGCGAGAUGUGCAGGAGCAGCGGCGAUGACGGCACGUGCUUGAAGAUGCGGUGGCAGGACAACCCCUUAGAUUUAAGCAUAUUAGUAAAGGGAGGAAAAGAAACUAACGAGGAUUCCUGUAGUAGCGGCGAGCGAACAAGGAGGAGCCCAAAGUGUAAUUGAUGGAGCGAUCUGUUGAGAUGUCAAAAAAGCACGGCGUAACCAGUCUGGAACGGAGGGCCUAAGAGGGUGAUAGCCCCGUGAGCGUGCAGGGAGAAGGAGUAGCAGUGCUCGGUAGUGCACUGUGAACGGGUGGCAGCGUCCAUCCAAGGCUAAAUAUAACACCGAGACCGAUAGAGGAUAAGUAGAGUGAUCGAAGAAGGAAUAGACUGAAAAAGUGAAAUUGCGCAGGGAUCCGAUUAGAUCGGACCCGUCUUGAAACACGGACCAAGGAGAGCAACUACGUGGCGAGUAGAAGGUAGGAAGAACCUUGUGCGAAAUGAAGAUGAGUGAGACACGUGGCUGCGACCCGAUAGACUUGUGAACUAUGCCUGGUGUCUAUGAAGGCUGACGAAAGACAGCUGGAAGUAGUAAGUUCUUGUGAUGUGCAAAUCCAUGGCAUGAGCUGGGCAUAGGGGCGAAAGACCAAACGAACAGUCUGGUAGCUGGUUCCCCUCGAAAUGUGUAUCAGGACAGCACGUGAGCGAAGAGAGGCUAGGUAGAGCGAAGGUCGUUUAACUAACGUGGCGAACGAACUGCGAAUGAGCCUGGCGGGCCGUGCGUGAAGACGGGCCGCGGACUUGAGCGAGCGUAGUGGGCGAGUUCUGGUAAGCAGGACUGGCGAAGAGGAAUGAACCUAGCGGGACGAUAAGGCACCCAACAUUGUGGCAGAGACGUGAAGGGUGUAGGUGAAUGAAGACGAUAGGGCGGUGGCCAUGGAAGUCGGCAUCCGGUAAGAAACGUGUUGCAACGUACCUAUGGAAUUCAGCUGCUCCGAAAAUUGACGGUGCUUACGCGAUGGCCGAUGCGUCUCUUGAGGUAGGGGGGCGUGCAGGUGCUGGAGAAGGUGUGCCGCGAGGCACGGUGGAGGCGCCUGUUGAGCAGAUCUUGGUGGUAGUAGUGAGAAUUUGUCUGUGAAGGCAAAGACUGAGGAGGAGUAGGUUUUCCUUACGAUGAGCGACAAUAAGGAGAGAGCCGGUGCUAAGUGAAGGUGUGGAUGCCUGAACGAUAGAGAAACAGGAAGAAAAUCCUGUGCCUGGGUGUUGAGCGGCAACGCGAUGCAUCACGUAGACGGACCUGGUUAAGUCGUGCAGAGAAACCUAUUCUGUGCAAAGAUGAGAGAGUGCUUAGAGAUAGGUCAACUAGCGAAGAGGACUUGAGUCUGACCCAAAUGACAUGAGCGUUGACGACUGAAAGCAGGUUCCCGUGAAAAGACGUGAUGAUUUGGCAUCUAGACCGUACCAAUAACCGCGACAGGACUCCAAGGUGAAUAGCCUCUAGUUGAUGUUUAAAGCAAGUAAGGGAAGUCGGCAAAAUAGAUGCGUAACUUCGGGACAAGUAUUGGUUCUUAUGGAACUCUUAGUGGCAAGGGGAAUCCGACUGUUUAAUAAAAACAUAGCUUCAUGAACAAGAGAUGAAGUGAUUUCUGCCCGGUGCUUGAGGAGUGAAAGAGAGGAAAGUAUUGUAAGCGCGGGUUAACGGCGGGAGUAACUAUGACUCUCUUAAGGUAGCCAAACGCCUCGUCACUUAAAUGGUGACGCGCAUGAAUGGAAUGACGAGAUUCCCACUGUCCCUACUUGCAGACUAGCGAAACCCACGGACCAGGGGAACGGGCCUGGCACAGUCAGCGGGGAAAGAAGACCCUGUUGAGCUUGACUCUAGUGUGGCAGAGCGGUGGGGACAGUUGCGAUGUAGGAAGGUGGGAGCUUCGGCACAAGUGAAAGACCACUGCGCAACAGUCCCCAUUGGACACCCCUGCGGGGAUGGCUGCCAGAUGGGGAGUUUGGCUGGGGCGGCACGGCUGCAGCAACAGAACGCAGCCGUCCGAAGGCACUUGCAGCGAGACGAGAACACCCGCGUGGAGCAUAAGGGCUUUAGAGUGCUUGAGCACAGGCUGGGCGGCCUGUGUGCGGGGAAACCCAGGCCUAGAGAUCCCACGAUCACGAGACGGUUGUGGCGUGGGUGACAGAAAAGUUACCGCAGGGAUAACUGGCUUGUGGCACCCGAGCGCAGAAAGCGACGGUGCUUUUUGAUUCUUCGAUGUCGGCUCUUCCUAUCAUGGCCAUGCAGGAGUGGCGAAGUGUUGGAUUGUUCACCCACAAACAGGGAACGUGAGCUGGGUUUAGACCGUC